rnacentral:rRNA from 1 species
AUGGACUCCCCGCAAAAGAAGCUCGGAUCCACCAUGGACGGAGAGAUGCCACAUCUGCUGCCUGUGACUGUGAGCGAGACCGUGUCCAACUCCAAGGAGACGCGGGCCGCUCCUCCUCCGGACGCUGUCGUGAUUGUCAGCGAGUGGGCGUUCUACCCCGGCUUCAUCGCCUUUCUCUUCUACACCCUGCAUUAUGCAAUCACUUCCGCACUGUCCUUGUUCUUUCUGCUGACGGGCGCGGAGGCGGAGGCCGCCAAGGUGAGCGUCCUACACGUCGGGAUGCUGUGCUUUGCCGCACUCCAGGUGGCCGCGGCGGCGGUGGCUCUGCGGCUCCCGCGCCGCCGCGGCUGGGUCCGCUACGCCUUCGCCUACCUCGCCCUCGCGCUCGCCAUCGUCGGCCACUGCAUGUUCGCCGCUGGAGACCACUUCUUCAGGAUCUUGCGCACCGUCGGCAUCUUCAUCUACGCUGCGGGCGAUGUCCUCUGCUUCCUGGCCCUCCUCCUCGACCUCCUCGGCCUCCUGGGAGGUGAGAAGUAG